rnacentral:rRNA from 1 species
UAUUUGAAAGGCCUGCCACUGGAAGAGGGGUCUGCGCGGCAUUAGCUAGUUGGUGGGGUAACGGCCCACCAAGGCGACGAUGCCUAGCGGGUCUGAGAGGAUGAUCCGCCACACUGGAACUGAGACACGGUCCAGACUCCUACGGGAGGCAGCAGUGGGGAAUUUUGCGCAAUGGGCGAAAGCCUGACGCAGCAACGCCGCGUGAGUGAAGAAGGCCUUUGGGUCGUAAAGCUCUUUUCUGGGGGACGAGGCUGACGGUACUCCAGGAAUCAGCACCGGCCAACUCUGUGCCAGCAGCCGCGGUAAUACAGAGGGUGCGAGCGUUGUUCGGAUUUACUGGGCGUAAAGGGCGUGUAGGCGGAGGCGCAAGCCGAUGGUGAAAUCCCCGGGCUUAACCCUGGAUGGUCUGUCGGAACUACGUCUCUAGAGAGGGCCAGAGGCAGGUGGAAUUCCAGGUGUAGAGGUGAAAUUCGUAGAGAUCUGGAGGAACACCGGCGGCGAAGGCGGCCUGCUGGGGCCACUCUGACGCUGAGGCGCGAAAGCGUGGGGAGCAAACAGGAUUAGAUACCCUGGUAGUCCACGCCGUAAACGAUGAGCACUCGAUGUGCGAGGUCUACGACCCCUCGCGUGUCACCGCUAACGCAUUAAGUGCUCCGCCUGGGGAUUACGGUCGCCAGACUAAACUCAAAGGAUUGACGGGGGCCGCACAGCGGUGGACAUGUGGUCAAUUCGAGCUACGCGAAGAACUUACCUGGCUUGAAUCCACGGAUCCUGCUGAAAAUGGGAGUGCCCUCCGGGAGCGUGAGAAGGUGGUCAUGCUGUCUCAGCUCGUGCGUGAGAGUUGGGUAAGUCCGCACGAGGCAACCUCGUGAGGGUGCACCGUUCGCUGGCCUCAUCGAACUGCAGAUAACUGGAGAAGGGGGAUGACUCAGUCCGAUGCCCUUACCCAGGGUGCACAUGUAAAUGGGAGCC